rnacentral:rRNA from 1 species
CAGUCGCCGCGGUAAAACAGAGGGUGCAAGCGUUAAUCGGAAUUACUGGGCGUAAAGCGCGCGUAGGUGGUUUGUUAAGUUGGAUGUGAAAGCCCCGGGCUCAACCUGGGAACUGCAUCCAAAACUGGCAAGCUAGAGUACGGUAGAGGGUGGUGGAAUUUCCUGUGUAGCGGUGAAAUGCGUAGAUAUAGGAAGGAAAACCAGUGGCGAAGGCGACCACCUGGACUGAUACUGACACUGAGGUGCGAAAGCGUGGGGAGCAAACAGGAUUAGAUACCCCAGUAGUCCCUGUCUCUUAUAC